CUCGUAACCGUUUACUUUUAUAGCAAAUAUCAGAUGAAUUUAGAAGAACCAUUUCGUCUGACUUCCGUUACCAAACGUAAGAUUUUAGAGCCGACUAUCUAAAAGGAGCUAGGAAAAUCGAUUCAAGCAUAUAGAUAUUGUACACAACAAUUACUUGUCCACAGAAUCCUUACUUCUAUUAGCAUCAUAAUUAACCAGUUGAAUAUGGAUGCCUUUUAAAAACUUCUACCUAUUUUAUUUAAACAAAACGUACCCGGGACUGUGCUCUACCACUUUUGCAAUAAAAAACACUGAAUAAAGUACACAGGAGGGUGAGAAAAUAAACCUUCAACGCCUAUCUACUUUCGGAUAAGGAAUUACCAUGCUCGAGUUGGAGAUAUUUCCAUACACUCGUUAGAACCUCGUCUUAGAAAAAGUCUCACCUUUGGGUAAGAUUCUCUCAUUUACAGCUCAAGAGAGUUGUAGAACACAUUUAUUUCCCUGGAAAAUUAUUGGAUAUCUUCCAGCUAUAUAACUAAAUAAAACAUGAACUAGAACGGAACUACUCAGAAAUAUAUAGAUCUUUCAUAGACAUAAAAUAUCAGAAAAACAAAAUCUUCAGUAUUCGAUAAUUUUAUUUAACUUAAAUAAACGGCCCUUUUUUACGUGACAAUCAACAAAAUGUCGCUGCAGCUGCAAUCUUUGAAGUGCAUGGAGACAACUGGUCAGGUUUUAUUUCGCAUGUUAUUGUUGGACAUUCAACAUACUUAAAGGUGAUUACAGUGGAUUGCAUCUGAAAAUUGUACAAGUAUGUUGAAGGGAACCUUAGUGCUCGCUAUGGCAGUUUUUACUUCGAUAUACCAAGACGCACAGGGCGUUCUUUCAGGUGAUUUCAAAUAUGAGAACAGACUAUGCAAGUGGAUGGAAAUACCUGGGAGUGGACCAGGACCCCGGUCUUUGAAAGUCAAUUGUCCAGCUACAGAUGGAAAUGACGCCAUAGGUUGCCAAUACAGAGGUAAUCCGCACCCAUGCAAGGCAUAUAAUAAAAACCAGGAAAAGUUCUACCAGUGCUUGGCAGACACACUAGGAAAAAUGGGCACCCUUUGCAAUAUCAACACCGUUUUUUGCAAAAAAAUGUGCAGUCAUAUUGAGUUUCUUUUGGAGAAGGACACUAAGAAAUCAAAAAUGUGUUUUUGAACUUGCUGGUAUCUCUCUCAUCUUUGUCCUCGAAUAUUUCCUGAAAUAAUUUAUACAAUGUAACAAAUGUAAGGUCAUUUAAGUUCAUAGUGUUUAUUUACAAAUAUUCCUACUACGGCUACUCAUUCUCAUUGCUGAACAUGAAACUCAGUACAUACUCUGAACAUGUUAAAAAUUGUUUGCUGGAUUGAGAAAUGACAUAAUGGAAAAUUUAGUAUUACAUUCUUGCAAAAUCCCAUGUUUAGAUUUUAUUUCAAUAAUUAUUCAAAAUAGCGUCCUUUAGAAUAAUUGCUUUCAAAUUGGUACUUGCCUUAACACAUAUAUGUAUUCAAAUAAGCUAAUAUUAGAUACUGGUUCUCAGUGAACAAGGCGUGAACUGACGCUUACUAAACGCAGUAAUAUAUUUAUAUUUAACGUUUUUCAUAACCUCAUCUUACAGUAUGACUAGACAUUCUUUAUCUUUUAUCAAAGAGGAGCGAAAAGAGUUGAUUUUUUUUUUCAAGUAAUAAAUCGAAUAUCCUGACUUCUGUGGAAAAGAAGAUGAAAACAUAGGCAAUUUAUUCCGAGCAAGACAUUUUUGUAAAAUUCCGAGCUUCUCGGGAAAGGAAGUGCCACAAUUGUAAUGUUGGAUUCUUUUGCACUCGAUACGAAAAUAUUUUUGUUAAGCUUUUAUUAACCAUUCCAUAAUGAUAGUUGUAUAUAUAUAACAUGUAAAUUCAAAAUGUGAAUUGAUCACUGCUUUGUCGGCAAGUGGGGAUAUCUGUCACUCAAUUGAAAACUGAAAUGAAAAUCCAAUAAAUGUAUAUUUGCUCCAA